UGCGACAUGCUCAGGCAGGAAAACAGGAAAGAGAGUUCAAGGUUGCCCAACGUGAAAUACUCAAAGCGCUCACAGAGUUAGGGGUAACCCAGAGCACAUGGCCUCGCUCCAGUUUCCGAGGACAGGCCAGCACUGGGGUUUUGUCAAGAGCAAGCAGGCAGAUUCAGACGGACAGGAGAGUGAAGCGUGUGUCAUGCAGCUCUGCUGCUGCUGCUGAGGCUCUUCUCCUCAGAGGCUGUGACCUAGAUAACCAAGAGGAGCUGGAGCGCCUGCAAGCCUUGGAGCCACUCCAGCUUCAGCAAUGUCAGGAAGGGGUUAGUUGUAUAACACAAUGUCCUAUUUAGUUUAGUCGGCACACAUACACUCAAACAUGAACACAUAUGUGCCCUAUGGUCCUCCUAUACCAUCAUAGUACAUUUGGUUUUUUUGUUUUUCUGUUGCUAAAGCUGUGUUGGAUGGGUUGAGUGUGAGAGAAGGAGAAUUCAUCUGUAUUUAAUCAUAAACAUUAGAGAUGCUUGGUAAAGCUUUGUACUUCAGCAGCCACAUUAUGUCAAAGCUACAAAAGGAGGACUCUUCCUGCUGUGCUGCUGCCUUUAAAUUGAGGCGCUUUAUUUAGCAGCUAUUCUGAGGUUCUGAGUAUGAGCACAACCAUGUGGUACAUACAUUAUUUGCAUUAAUUAUUCUGCUUGUGCAGGUAGCCUGGGAGUGCAGCAUUUCUACUCAGCUCUAUACUGCCACUAACUGGCCAAUUAGAGGAAUUUAUUUUUCCUCCCAGGAACACAAGGAUUAAAAAAACAAAAAUGGGCCAAUGAUAAUUAAACUUGUUUUAUUCCAAUGCAUUGUGAAAAAAACACUAAACAGAAAAAUACAUCCCCAUAGAAGGUGAUAAUAUAUCGAUGGAUUCGAAUCAUCCACAUCAACUUUGAUAAGAGGCAAAAAAUAAUAAAAAUAAUAAAAAAAAAUCUUAGAUCACUGCAUCUACUGUGAUUCAACACUGCUAUCUGGUGGUUUUAAGUUUAUACUGCAGCAUUUUAUCCAAAUUAACACUGCUAUACAGAAAUUUCAUUCCAUUGCAAAACAAAAAACUUUUUUUUUUUUUUACAAACAUCAAUUUGUAUCUCACAGUAUAAAACAAAAGGAAAAUCACAAAUAAUAAAAAAAAAAGGCAUUUAGUUUUUGUCAAAUUUUACUUUUGCACAUAUAGAUGCUUAAUUUACAUUUUCAUUUCAGGAAAACAAAAAUGUUUGUAUUAAUCCUGGCUCUGCUGUGGCUUGAAGCAUUCCCAGCCUGGCUUUGGGAUAUAGGUGAGCUCUGGAAGAAGGAAGUCUUUCAAUCUGUCUGGUAAAGGCAAAGCUUUCACUCUGUCCACUAUGGGCCAGGGUUGAACGCAGCUCCUUAUGAAUGCCCUAGAAAGGCAGCGAAGUGACGGAGGGCUCCCCUCAUGCUCCACUACACGGUUGUGUAGUUCUAUCAGAGCCUGAGCAUGUGGGUGAGAGUCCAGAUUGGCCACAGGAAGCUCCAGCCUCUGAGGCAGAUGCAGUGUUGGGACGUUAACCCUCGCAAAGUCCAGCAAUGUCUCAGCUUGCUCCAGCAGCUCAGCUGCUUGACUCGGAUCUGUGCACUGCUGCAGGACUGUUUGAAGCCUCUGAAAAAGGAGGCUAUAACCUGACCAACAGAAAGAACUGUGAUGGGAGCAAACCAAAGAGGCUCCACUCUGCAUUAGGAGCACCGCCAGAGGAAAAAGCAAGUCGAAGUGCUCCAGGCUCGCCUGCAUCAGAGACUCUUCGCCAUCUUCGUUCAGACAGCAGCUGAGGUCCACGCCGUGGGAAAGCAGUAGCUGUGUGGUUUCCAGGCAGAAUUUACCAAUCUCUGCGGCGUCCUCCGUGCUGGCCUCCAGAGCCUCCUUCACCAAGAACACCAGGGAGGACUCCACCGUUUCACCGUCUACAGUGGCAGCACUCCAUACUCCUGGGGAACCUGAAGACACAGGAGGUACUUUUGCUCACCAAGAACUUUUCAUAUGUUAAAGAGGCUAACUUUAAUGCAUUUUAUAGCUUUUUAUGUGACAGACUAAAAUAAAAUCGAUCCACAGUAUGAGACGAUCUGUCAGCUGAAGCAAGCUUCACCAACACAUGAUGCUGCCACCACCAUGCUUCAAUGUAGGGAUGCCAAAUUCCAUCCACACAUCGCUUAUAGCAGGGGUCUUCAAUGUUUACCAGGCCAAGGACCCCCAAACUGAUGCCUCAUUAUGCAAAUGAGGACGGCUGUCCUUAGAGGGUCAACUUCUUAGACACAGCACAAGCCUUGACACAAUCAUUGCUACGAGCGCGGCUUCCUUCUAGAAAUGGCGCCUAUUUUGACGCUGAGAAGCUGAGGAGCGUUUGGCGGUAAGCAGUACCUCGUUCCAGUAAGAGCCGGAUGUUCUCCGUGUUGUGCACAGUCAGUCCAUCGCUACUUGCUAAUGCAUGGAGCAAAGGAUUUUUCCCUUUAAAGAGACCAAAGGAAAAUUAUUCUGAGCACAAAGAUGCACAGACGGAUAGGUUUCACUUUGACAGUUGAACAUACCAUGUUUGUCUGUCGCAUUUACAUCAGCGCCUAGGUCCAGCAAUGUGAUCAGGCAGGGCAAUCUCUCUGACUCUUCACUGGCAAGGUCCAAAGGACUACUCCCAUGGAUCUAAAGGCAUGUAGCAGAUGAUGUUUAUACAUUAUUAUAUGAUUCGGGGAGGCAAUGAAUCAGAACAAAGUCGGAUACAGUGACUCACCCUGUCCCUCUUUUCAAUGUCUGCUCCAUGUUCAACCAGCAGCCUCACCAUGUCUGGCUUGUUCCUCAAAACAGCGUUAUGCAGCGGGUUGUAAUAUGACACAGGGUCUAGAGACGGAGAGAAAUUACAAUAACAAAAAUGUAUCUGUGCUUUGCCUCUCUGGUAACAUGCAAUCCUUUUGUAUUCAUGUAUUAGGAGCAGUAAAUAAAAUGGUGAUUCAGAAGCACUUGGCAUGCUUUGUCAGAGAUCUUUUAGUAGCAAUUCACAGGGGAGAGGUAUUCUCUAGGGAGAGGCACAUCUUAAUUCACUAAGGUCACUACAGCAACAGUUUAAGAUUAAUCCUAACAUGAAGAAUCCGGCACCACAAAAGGAGUUUUGCUGCUUUAAUGUCCACUAAUCUCCUGUUGAAUUAUUUGAACACAAACAAACAUGUGCUUUGAUGAUUUUUAUGUUGACAAAGUGAGUUAGGGGCUUUGAAUUAUUGAAGCAAUCAAAAAUCAGAAAUUAUGCUGAUAUUCUAAAGCCUCGUGAGACCAUCCUGAUCUCGCAAGCUUUCAAGGUUUCACUCGCAGAUCAGUCUGGAGACUCUCCGUUGAAGAAAAUUUGGAGCC